AGAAAACAUAUAAAUGUUUCUAGGUCAUGUUGUUGCUCAUGGACCUUUUAGGGAGGAACGACUCCCCUGUUUUGGUGUUGGUCUUGGAUGGCUCUUGUUUAUUACUAGUUUCUUUCUGGGUGCAAUCCCCUGGUAUAUAGGAGCUUUUCUACUGCUAUGUGUCCGUAUGGAU